rnacentral:rRNA from 1 species
GUCUGAGAGGACGAUCCCCCACACUGGUACUGAGACACGGACCAGACUCCUACGGGAGGCAGCAGUGAGGAAUAUUGGUCAAUGGGCGCAAGCCUGAACCAGCCAUGCCGCGUGCAGGAUGACGGCUCUAGAAGUUGUAAACUGCUUUUGUAUGGGAAUAAACUGUCCGGUUCUCCGGGCAUUGAAGGUACCAUACGAAUAAGGAUCGGCUAACUCCGUGCCAGCAGCCGCGGUAAUACGGAGGAUCCAAGCGUUAUCCGGAUUCAUUGGGUUUAAAGGGUGUGCAGGCGGAGUAAUAAGUCAGUGGUGAAAUCUUGCGGCUCAACCCGUAAAAUUGCCAUUGAUACUGUUAUUCUUGAGUUCAGUUGAGGUGGGCGGAAUGAGUAAUGUAGCGGUGAAAUGCUUAGAUAUUACUCAGAACACCGAUUGCGUUAGGCAGCUCGCUAAACUGUAACUGACGCUGAGGCACGAAAGCGUGGGGAGCGAACAGGAUUAGAUACCCUGGUAGUCCACGCCGUUAACUAUGAAUACUGGAUGUGUGCGAUACACUGUACGCGUCUGAGCGAAAGCAUUAAGGUAUUCCACCUGGGGAGUACGUCCGCAAGGAUGAAACUCAAAGGAAUUUGACGGGGGCCCGCACAAGCGGAGGAACAUGUGGUUUAAUUCGAUGAUACGCGAGGAACCUUACCUGGGCUUAAAUGCAGUAUGACCGUUCUCGAAAGAGAUCUUCCCUUCGGGGCAAAUUGCAAGGUGCUGCAUGGUUGUCGUCAGCUCGUGCCGUGAGGUGUCGGGUUAAGUCCCAUAACGAGCGCAACCCCUACCGUUAGUUGCCAGCGAGUAAUGUCGGGGACUCUAGCGGAACUGCCGGUGUAAACCGCGAGGAAGGUGGGGAUGACGUCAAAUCAGCACGGCCCUUAUGUCCAGGGCUACACACGUGUUACAAUGGUCGGUACAGUGGGCAGCUACCCAGCGAUGGGAUGCUAAUCUCCAAAACCGAUCCCAGUUCGGAUUGAAGUCUGCAACUCGACUUCAUGAAGGUGGAUUCGCUAGUAAUCGCAUAUCAGCAACGAUGCGGUGAAUACGUUCCCGGGCCUUGACACACCGCCCGUCAAGCCAUGGAAGCU